rnacentral:rRNA from 1 species
GAUGAACGCUGGCGGCGUGCCUAAUACAUGCCAGUCGAGCGAACAGACGAGGAGCUUGCUCCUCUGACGUUAGCGGCGGACGGGUGAGUAACACGUGGAUAACCUACCUAUAAGACUGGGAUAACUUCGGGAAACCGGAGCUAAUACCGGAUAAUAUAUUGAACCGCAUGGUUCAAUAGUGAAAGACGGUUUUGCUGUCACUUAUAGAUGGAUCCGCGCCGCAUUAGCUAGUUGGUAAGGUAACGGCUUACCAAGGCAACGAUGCGUAGCCGACCUGAGAGGGUGAUCGGCCACACUGGAACUGAGACACGGUCCAGACUCCUACGGGAGGCAGCAGUAGGGAAUCUUCCGCAAUGGGCGAAAGCUUGACGGAGCAACGCCGCGUGAGUGAUGAAGGUCUUCGGAUCGUAAAACUCUGUUAUUAGGGAAGAACAAAUGUGUAAGUAACUAUGCACGUCUUGACGGUACCUAAGCAGAAAGCCACGGCUAACUACGU